ensembl:lncRNA FREM2-AS1 FREM2 antisense RNA 1
GGCAGGAAUCACCUAUUGUUCGUCUGUAAACUCCAAUGAGAAACAUACAGUCUGGUGUAUGGGAGGUCAUCAAAACAAGUGUGGAGGUAUAAGCUAAGACUGACAACUGCCUCCCAAGUUUCUAUUCAAAAGUAAUCAUUUUGGAUGUAAAUCUCAUCAGGAAUGUGUUUAAACUCAGGAACUGCUGAAUUGUACUGUAACUUGGCUCAUCCCAAAUAGUGCAGUUGUCUUCACAAUGGAGAGACUGUCACAGCCUAAAAAGACACGUGACUCUGAGCAUCAGUUUACUGGCUGCCCACUCAAUGAUUCAGACUCCUCCAUUCUUUGUGUGGAAGAGAACUGGCCUUCCGGGAGCCUGAGGCCAAGUGAGAGAACCUUCUGAAAGCCGUCACUGCAUGGGGAGCCUGGACUUACCCUUUGCCUUGUUGGAGCUGUUUGUCUAUUUCCGUCUCGAAGUUCUCUAUA